rnacentral:rRNA from 1 species
CGCGUAGGCGGCCCGCCGCGUCAGGGGUGAAAGCCCCCGGCUCAACCGGGGAAGGGCCUCUGAUACGGGCGGGCUCGAGGGGGAUAGGGGCGGACGGAACUUCCGGUGGAGCGGUGAAAUGCGUUGAUAUCGGAAGGAACGCCGGUGGCGAAAGCGGUCCGCUGGGUCCCCUCUGACGCUGAGGCGCGAAAGCCAGGGGAGCAAACG